GAACAUUUUGAACUGCAACGCGCCGCUGACGUCGGACUUGUUUACAUAAAGGAGGUCAAACUCGAUCGAUGGCUUCAAUGAUUUGGAGUGACACAGAUGGUUUGAUAAAGAUGUUAUUUAUGUUAUAGUUAUUUGAAUAAAUGUCAUUGUUACAUCAGGCCUGUUCUCAGCUUCUUGUUUGUGUUUAUGUCACGUUAGCAUAACGUAUCGUUUAGCCUGUUGUUGCUCGUUCAUGAGUUGGGGUGACUCCGAUGGU